rnacentral:misc_RNA from 1 species
UUGCAUUUGAUCCAAAAUCAGGCUUAGAUGUGUGGAAUGCCUUAAUUUUAUCGAGUGCAAAUAUUCUGAAUUUCUAAUAGACCAAUGUCCAGCAUUGUAACUCAGUAAAUGCUUUUUUUGUUUUCUCCUCUUUCACUUCUUUUUGCUUCAUGCAUAUAUGAAUUGAUUGCUUUCAUAUGUAGUCCUAUAUGGUUGGGUGAAAUGUAGUCGUGCUCUGUGGUAUCUGAA